rnacentral:rRNA from 1 species
AUUGAACGCUGGCGGCAUGCUUUACACAUGCAAGUCGAGCGGUAACAGGUUAAGCUGGCGAGUGGCGAACGGGUGAGUAAUGCAUCGGAACGUGCCCGAUCGUGGGGGAUAACGCAGCGAAAGCUGCGCUAAUACCGCAUACGAUCUGAGGAUGAAAGCGGGGGACCGUAAGGCCUCGCGCGAUCAGAGCGGCCGAUGUCAGAUUAGGUAGUUGGUGGGGUAAAGGCCCACCAAGCCGACGAUCUGUAGCUGGUCUGAGAGGACGACCAGCCACACUGGGACUGAGACACGGCCCAGACUCCUACGGGAGGCAGCAGUGGGGAAUUUUGGACAAUGGGCGAAAGCCUGAUCCAGCAAUGCCGCGUGCAGGAAGAAGGCCUUCGGGUUGUAAACUGCUUUUGUACGGAGCGAAAAGGUCCUUUCUAAUACAAGGGGCUCAUGACGGUACCGUAAGAAUAAGCACCGGCUAACUACGUGCCAGCCGCCGCGGUAA